GACGAACGCUGGCGGUGUGCUUAACACAUGCAAGUCGAACGGUAAGGCCCUUUCGGGGGUACACGAGUGGCGAACGGGUGAGUAACACGUGAGUAACCUGCCCUCAUCUCUGGGAUAACAGUCGGAAACGGUUGCUAAUACUGGAUAUGAGCCUGCAAGGCAUCUUGUGGGUUGGAAAGAUUUUUUGGUUGGGGAUGGACUCGCGGCCUAUCAGCUUGUUGGUGAGGUAGUGGCUCACCAAGGCUUCGACGGGUAGCCGGCCUGAGAGGGCGACCGGCCACAUUGGGACUGAGAUACGGCCCAAACUCCUACGGGAGGCAGCAGUGGGGAAUAUUGCACAAUGGACGGAAGUCUGAUGCAGCAACGCCGCGGGCGGGAUGACGGCCUUCGGGUUGGAAACCGCUUUCAAUUGUGACGAAGUUUUUUGUGACGGUAGCAGUAGAAGAAGCACCGGCUAACUACGUG
rnacentral:rRNA from 1 species